rnacentral:misc_RNA from 1 species
CCCCCUCUUGCAUUACUUCCAAUACCUCACUCAUGGUAGGGCGCCACGUCGAAGAUGCUCGGAUACAAAGAGAUGCAGCAAAGGCAAGUCUUAUCAGCUGUGAAGCAUCAUAGGCCCCUCCAAGCCUUGGAUCUACCACCUCUUCAGUUUCUCCUUGUUUCAAUAUUGGUUUAGCCCAGCUGCAUAUGCUUUGGUGAGAGCCAUCAACUGGUCUCC